GGACGAACGCUGGCGGCGUGCCUAACACAUGCAAGUCGAGCGGAGUUAACAAGAGGAAGUUUCGGAUGGAAUUUGUUAAUUAGCGGCGGACGGGUGAGUAACGCGUGAGCGACCAACCUUGCACAGGGGGAUAACGGACCGAAAGGUUCACUAAUACCGCAUGAGACCACGGUGUUGCAUGACACAGAGGUCAAAGGAGCAAUCCGGUGCAAGACGGGCUCGCGUCCGAUUAGGUAGUUGGUGGGGUAAUGGCCCACCAAGCCUAUGAUCGGUAGCCGACCUGAGAGGGUGAUCGGCCACAUUGGAACUGAGAUACGGUCCAAACUCCUACGGGAGGCAGCAGGUGGGGAAUAUUGGGCCAAUGGGGGAAACCCUGACCCAGCAACGCCGCGUGAAGGAAGAAGGUUUUCGGAUUGUAAACUUCUGUCCUUGGUGAAGAGAAGAAGACGGUAGCCAAGGAGGAAGCCCCGGCUAACUACGUGCCAGCCGCCGC
rnacentral:rRNA from 1 species